GUGUGUAACUCGCGUUGCAUCAGAAAGGACUUUUUUGCUUCGACAAGCCUGUUUCUUCUUGUUUAUGAAAGCGGAAGGUUGCUUGGUAGAUCGGUGCUUGUGACGCCAUCGACGAUAGUAGCUGAGCAGGGAAAUUAUCAGGGCGUUUAUUUUUCUUUGUGAAUUUUUGAAGCAUCUGCUCAUUGGCUAAUUGAUCUUUGUUUUUAGGGUGGGUAAUUUUCUGUUGUAUAUCGGGUAAUCUAGUUUCUUGGUCGCCGAUUCUACAGGAUCUUUGUAUUAUUAAAGACGAAAGUUAUCCGCGGUUUCUUUGCGGAUGUACAAAAGAUUUCAUCCGCUAAAGAUACUUUGCAUGAAUUUUGGCAACGGAGAAAUCUUACGCCGUAAAGUAGCGCAGCGAACGUAGCGAGUUCCUUUGCAUAUUGGAAUUCAUAAUGCCCCGGCCGCCCUAUCAGCAAAGGAAAAAAGUUACCUUCAAAUUAUAUUCUCCUUUACGGAUAUAAGAAAUUCCAUCUGGCGAAGGUUCCUCUAUUUUUCAGAACGAAAUGUUUUCCAAAGCUGUUUGGAUCAUUCACAGUUCUUGUACAUAAUUAUUCUUGUAUUUUCUAACAAAAAUACGCAAUUUUAAAAAAUACGUACACAUGUUUCGUAUAACAGAACACUUUUUGUUUUUCUUUGUACACAAUUAAUUAGAACUUGAACGUUCGCACAUAAGAGCUGCUUCUCUGAAUCAUUGUUUAAUAAAAACAUUAAACAAAUUUAAAAGAUUCCAAGAAUAAUGCAAUUUCAAUAUGAUUCUACCUAUCAACAUUCGCGCAAGUGUGUACGUAGCUGAAAGUUACAGGUAAAAGAAAAAUCAAGCGUUCACGAAGAACGACGUGUAGAAUAAAUCAAACAACUGUUUCAAGCAAAGCGUAACAUUGAUUUGACGAUGCUGGCUGUCCAUCCAAGUCUAAUCAAACAUCGACGAAAUAUCGCCAUGGGAGCCCAAUGGAUAUCGCGAUUCGUUGAUUUCAAUCUGCGAAGGUUGUCUGCCGUAAUUGGUAGAUUUCUCGUUUCCGUUCGGCUUGUUGUAAACGCGUCACACUAGUGACAAUGCUCGUAGCACGAUACACGAUCGAUUAUUACCUUGUCUUCGUCUUAAAUUUCAGGAGAAUUCAGGAGAAAACUUCCGAAAUAAAAGAAAUUUUUAUCUAAUCAACCUUCUGUCAUUAAUAAUCUUAGAACUUUUAUGAAAUCUAUAUGAUCGUCUGUAGAGUCGCUUUAUGAAAUUUCAUUUUUACGAAGUAAAAAGAAUUGUUUCAGUUAAUCUUCUGUGAUUGAUGACUUUGAAGCUUUCACGAAGUGUCGUGUGGAAUUUGUCGAACGUUUCACGACGAAUUUUAUUUCUCUGAAAUAAGAGAAAUUCCGUGAAAUAAUCUUCCGUUAUUGAUUUUCACGAAGAUCAAUCGGUCGUAGGUUGACAAUUUGCUCUCAUGACAGAUCAAUCGAAUAGAAACACAAUGUCGAGUAUGAAACAUAAUAUUUAUAAAAUAUGUAAAUAGGUUGUCCUGUUCUUUCGGUAUUUUUUUCCAAAUAUUUCCAAAUAUUUUUCGCAAAUCUGAAGUGACAUUUCCAGCGAAUAAUUCUACGACAAUAUGCAUCGAUUGCUGCAAACGUGGCUGCGAACGCCAAAUUCGCUGAAAUUAAUCUAGCAUAAAAUUACAGUGACCCACGCGUGUCAUAAUUAAAACUUAUAAAUGACACUCGGUGUGUACAAACGAGCUCGUAACGGACGAAUUAACCCGUAGUGACGCAGCUGAUUUCAGAAGGUUCGCAAAUUUUAAACCACCUCAUAAUUUACUUUUGACAGUUACGAAAGCUUUCCCGUAUUUUGACAAAUUUCGAUACGAACCAAACUCGCCGUAAUCAAUAAUGUAUUUGAAUGUAUUUGAAGUUUUGGACAUUUUGCUUCCUUGAUGGAUGCAAUUUCCGCUUUGAAAUCGUCACGGGGCUUUUUGAUUAUCUCUACCGAGUUAAAAUUAAGUGUCGAAAAUUUUUUACGGAAAUUGACUAUUCUUCCUAGUUAAAAGAAAUCGUAUCCAAGUACCAUUUCGAAAUGGAAAAAGAAAAAAGAAAUUAGAAUUCUAUUAUUUUCUUUCUGGAAUAUUUGUUUCUCUUCAUUUAGUUGGAAACACGUAGCCAUUAUAACGUUACUUCAUUUAAAAGAUAAGAGAUAUUCUAAUUUCUUUGAAAUUAUUCAGAUAUUUCUUCUUUAUCUAUUAUCGAUAGCAAAAAUACAUUUCUCCGAUAUUUUUGUAAAGAAGGCGCACAAGUUUAAAAUACAAAAUAAAAAGUGAAAUAUGUAUUUUCAAUUUCUACAUUCAACAUUUUUAAACAUUUUACUCGUUUAAGAAAAACAUAAAAGACGAAUACAUUGGUCGUCUUGUAAAUUACUUAAUAAAUUAAUUAAAAUACAUAAAAAAUGAUAAAUCAGCCACAGUGAUUACACUGUAGGAAUUCUACGGUGUCAAAGUAACGAGAAGUUAGUAUUAAUACGCGUAGCCGACGAUAGAUCAUAACAUCGAAUGUUAUUGUAGACAAAUUUUCGAAAUAAACGAGAAUCGAACAACAAUUCGCGAUUAUUCCGAUUUCUGGAACGCCAUCUGGACGAAUCGAAACGAAUGGAAACGAAUCGAGUCGAAGGAGAUCGAGUCAGAGCGACGUGCCACCGACUUCCGUUUAAGUCGUCACACGAGAAGCAUCAGGUAAACACGUGUCGUCAGAAUAAUCGCGAGCAGAUGCUGGAUCGAAGGAUAACGCAGGAUGUCCUCGUGUCAUCAUGUCAAUUACUGAUGAAUUUCGAUCGUCAUAAAGAUACAUGAAGUGAUAUUCGAAAAAGAAAGAGACGAUUGGACACGACGCUCGAAAAUGAUAGAAAGAUCGUCCCUGGAAGUAUAACAAUGGCGAUGAAGUUAUCAUUUCGAUAUAUUAUCCGACAUCAUUUUUGAGCUAAAACGAGGAAGGGACAUAUAUCCGUCAGGCAACCAUGAAGAUAAAACACGGAGGUUCAUCUGAGCUUUGUUACUUGCUACAGAAAGUAAGUAACACAAGAGGAAAUUGAAAGGUCGCGCCAGUAUUAAUGAUUAAACGUCGAAUUAAUUUUGCAAAUGUUUUGCAACUGGUUUCGAGCUCGUUGCUAAAUGAGGAUAAUGGAAAUUGAUCGAUGCUCGAGAAAAUAAAAAUGUGACUUCGUUUAAGAAUCGAGAAUCUCAGCAAAGAUUAUCAAUUCUAACGAAUCCCUUUCGUUUUUCUCGACUUUUCGAUUAGUUUUCAUUCAUAGAUGCAUUUAAAUAUAAAUUAGAAUUUAAUCUCGCGAGGAAGAUACUUCUGACGAUGUCGCAAUUAUCUAAAUCGAUUUUUGUAUUAGCGUUAAGCGUUUCGCUAAAGAUAUGUGACCCCAUCUUAGUUUCGUGUAAAUCUUUUCUUGUAAGCUUAGCAGAUAGGUGAUAAAUGUAUAAUUCGUUUGUAAGGACCUGCGAAUUUAGAUUUAAUUAGGUAGAUAUAAUUAAAAUAAUUAAUAUUACGUAAGAUUUAUGUUGCUGUCGUCUCGUAGCAACCAUCACUGAAAUUUCUGACUUGGUUGGUGACUUAAAUUUUCGUAAAUUAUGCAUUAUUUGGAAUGAAAUAUGAACGCUGUAUAUUGCAAAGGUAACUAGGAACUGUGUUCACAUUAUGUUAAAUUUUAAACAAUUGUUUGUUCUAAUUAAUGUAAGUUGUAUCUCGGCGGGCCACCGUUUAGAUUUACCAACUUCAUCUUAUGAUUUAAUUUCACUAUAUAUAUAUAUAUACGAUUUUAAAUAAUUUGUAUAUAUUAACAGUAUAAUAAUCGUUUAAAUUUUAAUAAGCAACAAACUAGUCUUCCUCAUAUAAUUAAGAUAUACAACGUCUGUAUGUAUAGAUGGAAACAAACAAUACCAAGGUUCCUUAAAUCACGAUUCUCUUUUAAUAAGUUAAGUCAUGCUUCCUUUUUUAUACUUUUCGGAUCACUGUUUUAUAUGUUUUUACAAUUUGAUUGUUAUCAGAAUAUUAGCAUUAUUCGACUAUUGUCCAUUUCGACUUUUACGAUUUUUACUCUUUGAACGUGAUUUUUUGUUAAUCCGAAACUGUUGCUUGUUUCUAUCUCCUUUUUAAGUUUCACCAAAUGUUUAUACGCAUUUUGUAAACUUGAAAAAUAUCUUCCUUGUGUACAUUAUUGUAUUCACCCUACAAAGAGGCAAUGUUCUUAUAAUACCAUGCAUUCCUUAAAAGAUUGUUAAAUAGUUGGCAGUACAAGUUGAAAUAUUGUAUAUAUAUGUUUCAUUCGUGUGAUUGGCUAAUUCUUCUAUUUAUAUUGAUAUAAUUGAUAUAAUUUUUAGAUUACAUCUAUAUUUAACAUUAUAAGAAAUACAUCCAAAUUCAACUGAAGCAUUGUCUGACCACCGUGCACCUAUUUUCCUGCGAUUUCUACCAUUUGAUCGUUCCAGUCCCUUUCGCGUUUUCCUUCAAAACAUUCGUAGAAAACUCCCUAAUGUCGAUCGAGAUAUAGCAGAAUACAAGCAGUAAAA